GACGAACCGUGCGAACGUUGUUCGGAAUCACUGGGCUUAAAGGGCGCGUAGGCGGACGACCAAGUCAGGGGUGAAAGCCCCCAGCUCAACUGGGGAAGUGCCUUUGAUACUGGUCGUCUCGAGGGAGGUAGGGGCGUGCGGAACUUCCGGUGGAGCGGUGAAAUGCGUAGAUAUCGGAAGGAACGCCGGUGGCGAAAGCGGCGCGCUGGACCUCUUCUGACGCUGAGGCGCGAAAGCUAGGGGAGCAAACGGG
rnacentral:rRNA from 1 species